rnacentral:lncRNA from 1 species
CGCGGCCAGCUGAUAGGGACUGGGCGGCCAGCUGGUGGGGACUGGGAGCCUAGGGGCAUCACCCAGUCAGGUCCUCCUCCAGCCGUGCCCACGUGCUAGUGAUCAGUGAUUUGCCUCUUGGGCCCCGGCUCCCCCGGGGCAGGGGCAGAGCACAGUGCAUGGCGGGAAAUUGAAUCCAUUUUCUAAUGAUGCCUUGGUUUAAAAAAAUGACUCAGAAAAUGUCUAGAUAAUUAAGAGAAAAUAUUACCUUGUGGUAUUCAAUUUAUUUCUUUGGCUAUACACUUUUUCCUUGGGGGGCAUAGAUAUUCUGAUUUAAAACUACAAUAACGAUAGUGUCAUCCUAGGAAAUGAGCCUAACAGGAAAUGAGCCAGAGCAGAGCUUGGCCUAAUGACCUGAUGACCAGAUAAUGGCCCUCAACUUUUUAUAGAUUAUCAGUCCUCUCAAUGACUUGUGAUCCCCUGGAAAUGCCAUGCCUUCCGCAUAAUGAUGCUUAAUUAUGCAGACUGAGUGAAUAGAAUAUCUAAGCAAUUCCUGUCUCCCUCUUAGGUGUUAACAGUCCGAUGUUGCUUUGCAUGACAGGUUGUUGUAAAGAGCCUUGACUAGCACCUUAACACAGCAUCUUACUGCCCAAGUGGCCUGACAAUGUUUGAUUAGUGAAUGAAUGAAUAAGUGGAUCAGUAAACCAACCCAGAUCUCAGGGUCCUGACGGCAGCCUUAGAGCUGCCUUUGGAGCUGGGGAGCUGCCUCUGGGCUUGGCCUCACAGGGACUGUGUCAAUGACACCUUUCUUGUGGCAUGGUGAGCACAGAGGUGGGCGAAGUUGUGUCUUAAUUCACACCUGGGAAACCAGGGUUGGGAGGAGGACCAGCCUGCAGAGCCGAGAGCACCUGUCUUUACUCUCGCAGGUGGGUCCUGGGCCCACCACUGUUUUUAUUCUUUUUCUUUUUUUUCCCCUUUCCUUUUCUUCCUUCCCUCCCUCUUUCACUCUUUCUUUCUUUCUCAUUUUAUAGCCACACCAAGAGCAUAUAGAAGUUUCCAGGCUAGGGGCUGAAUCAGAGCUGUAGCUGAGGCCAGGGUUCGAACCCACAUCCUCAUGGAUACUAGUUGGGUUCUUAACUACUGAGUCACAACAGGAACUCCCUCUUUUUCGUUUCAUUUUCCUUUUCCCCCAUCAUCCUGCAGCUGCAUCUCUUCCUUGAAGGCAGGGAAGACAUCUGUCAGGACAUGCUGGGCGAUGCUCUUUUCAUCAGGAACUGUCUCACUCCACAAUGGAGAAAGCAGACAAAGGCAUCCUUUGGAAAUAAGAAUCACCUGGAGCAAAUUUGACAAGAUUAGUGGGUUUUCCACACUCUGUCCCUUUGUGGGUAAAGUUUUGAGGGAAAAAGCGCUGUGCACUGGCAGCUGUUGCCUGACCCAGGGAUUUGCCUCUGGUUGCCUUGUUUUUUUGUAGGGAUUUUUGGCUUUUUUUUUUUUUUUUUGUCUUUUCUAGGGCCACACCUGCGGCACAUGGAGGUUCCCAGGCUAGGGGUCCAAUCGGAGCUGCAGCUGCCGGCCUAUAUCACAGUCACAGCAAUGCAGGAUUCGGGCCAUGUCUGCAACCUACACCACAGCUCACGGCAACGCCAAAUCCUUAACCCACUGAGCGAGGCCAGGGAUUGAACCCAAAACCUCAUGGUUCCUAGUUGGAUUCGUUAACCACUGAGCCACGAUGGGAACUCCCUGGUUGCACACUGGGGCGCAGGCUGGAAUCCGCCCUCUUCUUCUCAUUCCUCACAUCUCAUCCGACACCGAUUCCCGUCUUUCUAAGUCCUAGAGGUCUGUUGGUCUGUGCCAUCUCUCCACCCGCCCUAUGAGAUCAGAGUUAAGGUCCGAGGCCCAGUGCUUGCCCGUGACCCUGCCGCCACAACUUGGAAGCAUGGAUAACAAGACACUGAAAAAGCAGGACGAGAACCAUGGACUCCGUGACCCACCACGAAGGCACCUCUGGGAAGAAGAUUUCCUUUGCUGCGAAAGGCUGGCUUUCAGAUUCCCCCAUGUAGCUAGCUCUCCUGGGAAGUGCAGACCCGAAAUCUUACCUCCUUCAGUCAUCACCACCCACAAGGCAUACACACUAAUCGCAGUUGAACAAUGAGAGGGUGGCUCCCUGGAGGCUGAGGCUGGGACUCUGGCAGUGGAGAUCCACCCCCCGGGGGUUGGGGAGGACCUGGAGCCUCAGCCCCUUCUCUGCCUGUGUGGUCAGCAUGGCAAAGGGGUCUUGGGAUGCAGUCAACACAGGGGCAACGUGUAGAUCAGGGCGGGGCCCAGAAUGGACACUCGGUAACUUCCUGCUUGUUAUCGCUUCUAAACAACCCAGAUAGAUUUGGGUGCAGCAGGCUAGGAGCCAAAAACACCUGCCCUCAGCUUGGUGCACAAACCUGAUUCAAGACAUAGAGCUGAGUGAGCUCACCUCAGGGCAGUGAGAGGCCUGGAGCUAAAACCACUGUAUCCCCUUGCAUUUUACUUAGGUGGAAAACUUUUCUCCUUGGCUGCUAGGAAACUCCUUGGACUUGUGCUUAAUCAGGAACACAGUUCCUGUGGGGAACACCAAGAGUUUUUGCUGCACUCAUAUCUUCAUUGCGUUCCUUUUGGCCACACACAUUCCCCCUCUUGCCUUGGUGUGUUGUCAUUGCUACAUGAGGCAAUGAGCUGGGACAUUUCAUCUCUAAUAUAUCUGAUGUGAAGUACUACUAAAAAAUGUUGGAAUGCUUUUAAUUCCCUAUUAUCUCUUUAGAUGGGUCCUUUAUCAAGUUCCUGAGUGUCUUCAAGACAUUCUUAAAGGAUGGAGACAGCGGAGGGAACUAGUUGGGAUUCUGGCUUCAUGGCUGCUUCUCAAUCAUGAGCACUUGGGCAGCUCCAGCUCAGGACACCGCAGGCCAGACGCUGAGGGUACAGAGAACUCAUGUGUAACCCCCAGUACAGCCCUUGCAAGCAGAAUGUCCUUAAAAUGAUAACAUCGUUACUUUUCAUAAGCUUUCUGACUCUACUAUUUUGUUUUGUUUGUUCGUUUUGUCUUUUUAGGGCCGCAUCCACGGCAUAUGGAGGUUCCCAGGCUAGGGGUGGGAUCAGAGCUGCAGCUGCCGGCCUACACCACAGCCACAGCAAUGCCAGAUCCUUCACCCACUGAGCAAGUCCAGGGAUUGAACCACGUCCUCAUGGAUACUAGUUAGAUUCGUUUCCACUGAGCCACCACGACAGCAACGCCCCUAUUUUGUUUUUCUUGUUAUUCUUUCAGUCUCUCUAAAUAGAAGGAGCUAAGUUGUGGAGGGGACCCUGAGGCUGUUGUCUGAAGCCCUCUCACCCUAUGACACACUUUGAUUCUUUUUCUUCCUCCUUUUUCAUGAUUCAGUUCAGCCCCUGCCUGGAGCCUUCUCUGGGGAGCAGAUUUGCAACAUUGACGUGGGUGCCAUCUCCUGGCCAUCUCAGGAACAAGCAAAGUCAAGCAUUCCUGCUUCCUGGCUUUUAGAGCAAUAGGCAGGGUCCCAAAUUCUUUGUAUCUUGGCAUCUUUGUUUAAACUUACUGCAAUCCCAUGGAUGAGAGAGGAAAGUUUCCUGGACCAGAAAAAGGCAUCAGGAGAAAAAAAGUGGAGGGAUCGGGGCAGAGUCCGUUGUUUAUUUGAUGGUGUUGUAGCCAUGUUUCCCUCUUGGUUUUGACACUUGGACCGUGGUUUUGUGAGCUGUUCGCAUUCAGGGGCUGAGUCAAGGAGGCAUGGGAUUUCUCUGUAUUAUCUUUGCAAUUCUAAGUCUCAAAUUAUUUCAAAAUAAAAAGUUUUUUAAAAAAUCAAGCAGUAGACACAGAACCAAAGGAGAGCCAGAUACUGCAGUUAUUCUGGUUUUAUUUUUACUUUUUUUUGGUCUUUGUGUCUUUUUAGGGCCGUGUCUGAAGCAUAUGGAAAUUCCUAGGCUGGGUUCGAAUUGGAGCUACAGCUGCCGGCCUACACCACAGCCACAGCAACUCAGGAUCCGAGCCGCGUCUGUGACCUACACAACAGCUCACAGCAGCGCCAGAUCUUUAACCCCCUGAGUGAGGCCAGGGAUUGAACCUGCAUCCUCAUGGAUGCUAGUUGGGUUCAUUAAUUGCUGAGCCGUGACGGGAACUCCCUGCUCUGGUUUUAAAAUAACCAGGAAUAAAAUGUCAUGAAAUUAGAACAUAAGAUGAAGAACAUAGACAACUGGAAGCUAUAAAAAAUGAAUUAGACGGAAACAUCUGAACUGAAAAGGACAGGAGCUAAAAUGAAUGAAUAGCUAAAACUCAGUGGAUGGAUCUGACAAUAGAUGAGACAAAUGUGUAUAAAAUCAUUCAGGAGAGAGAAAAAGGGACAAAAAAAAUAGGAAAGAGAUGUACUAUUUCAGAUGUAGUAGGAAAACAACCGAAUGUAUGUGAAGUUUCACAAAACAGCCUUCCCUUCAUCCCCACAGUCCACCUUCCCCACCCCCACCCACAUAGGGACCUGUCUUCAGUCAUCCUCAAUUCCAGGGAAAAAUUAGAAUUUAAAUAUAUAAAAAAAAUGUGCACACAGAUAGAUGCUAUUUAUUAAAAAUGUUCUGUGGAAGUUUCCGCUGUGGUGCAGUAGGUUAAGAAUCUGACUGCAGUGGCUUGGGUUGCUGGAGGCGCAGGUUCAAUCCCUGACCAGGCGCAGUGGCUUAAAGGAUCUGGCCUUGCUGCAGCUGCAGAGUAGGUAGCAACCGUGGCUCAGAUUCGAUCGCUGGCCCGGGAACU